rnacentral:rRNA from 1 species
GGCUACUACAUCCAAGGAAGGCAGCAGGCGCGCAAAUUACCCAAUCCCGACACGGGGAGGUAGUGACAAUAAAUACUGAUACAGGGCUCUUUUGGGUCUUGUAAUUGGAAUGAGUACAAUUUAAAUCCCUUAACGAGGAACAAUUGGAGGGCAAGUCUGGUGCCAGCAGCCGCGGUAAUUCCAGCUCCAAUAGCGUAUAUUAAAGUUGUUGUGGUUAAAAAGCUCGUAGUUGAACCUUGGGCCUGGCUGGCCGGUCCGCCUCACCGCGUGUACUGGUCCGGCCGGGCCUUUCCCUCUGUGGAACCCCAUGCCCUUCACUGGGUGUGGCGGGGAAACAGGACUUUUACUUUGAAAAAAUUAGAGUGCUCCAGGCAGGCCUAUGCUCGAAUACAUUAGCAUGGAAUAAUAGAAUAGGACGUGUGGUUCUAUUUUGUUGGUUUCUAGGACCGCCGUAAUGAUUAAUAGGGACAGUCGGGGGCAUCAGU